rnacentral:rRNA from 1 species
AGAGUUUGAUCAUGGCUCAGAGCGAACGCUGGGCGGCGUACUUAACACAUGCAAGUCGAACGAGGAUCAUCUUUGUAGCAAUACAUUGCUGGUCCUAGUGGCGCACGGGUGAGUAACACGUGGGUAACCUGCCCUUGAGUUCGGGAUACCCCCUCGAAAGGGGGGCUAAUACCGGAUACGUUCCUCGGAUCGACAGGUCUGGGGAGGAAAGGUGGCGCAAGCUGCCGCUCUUGGAGGGGCUCGCGGCCUAUCAGCUAGUUGGCGGGGUAACGGCCCACCAAGGCUAUGACGGGUAGCUGGUCUGAGAGGACGACCAGUCACACGGGGACUGAGACACGGCCCCGACUCCUACGGGAGGCAGCAGUGGGGAAUUUUCCGCAAUGGGCGAAAGCCUGACGGAGUGACGCCGCGUGUGGGACGAAGGCCUUCGGGUCGUAAACCACUGUCAGUGGGAAAGAAGGGUGUCGGCGCUAAUACCGCCGGCAUUUGACGGUACCUGCAGAGGAAGCCCCGGCCAACUCUGUGCCAGCAGCCGCGGUAAGACAGAGGGGGCAAGCGUUGCUCGGAAUUACUGGGCGUAAAGGGCGCGUAGGCGGGAUGGCAAGUCGGUCGUGAAAUCCUUCGGCUCAACCGAAGAACGUCGAUCGAUACUGCUGUUCUUGAGGAUUGCAGAGGAGACUGGAAUUCCCGGUGUAGCGGUGAAAUGUGUAGAGAUCGGGAGGAACACCGGUGGCGAAGGCGGGUCUCUGGGCAAUUCCUGACGCUGAGGCGCGAAAGCGUGGGGAGCAAACGGGAUUAGAUACCCCGGUAGUCCACGCUGUAAACGAUGACGACUAGGUGUGGGGGGGUUCAGUCCCCUCCGUGCCGCAGCUAACGCAUUAAGUCGUCCGCCUGGGGAGUACGGCCGCAAGGUUGAAACUCAAAGGAAUUGACGG